rnacentral:rRNA from 1 species
UCAAGUUAUUAAGGGUGUAGGGCGGAUGCCUUGGCACUAGGAGCCGAUGAAAGACGUGAUAAGCUGCGAUAAGCUUCGGGGAGUGGCACAUACACUUUGAUCCGGAGAUUUCUGAAUGAGGAAACUCACUUGGAGUAAUGUCCAAGUAUCCAUAGGUGAAUACAUAGCCUAUGGAGGGGAACUCAGGGAACUGAAACAUCUAAGUACCUGAAGGAAGAGAAAGAAAUUCGAUUCCGCUAGUAGCGGCGAGCGAACGCGGAAGAGCCCAAACCAAGUCAGUUUACUGAUUUGGGGUUGCGGACAUAUCUUAAGGAAAGGUUAUUGCGAGUAGAAUAGGUCUGGAAAGACCAACCACAGAGGGUAAAAGUCCCGUAUACAAAGCCAAGAAAGUUCUUGAUAUGAUCCAGAGUACCACGAGACACGUGAAACCUUGUGGGAAGCAGGGGGGACCACCCCCCAAGGCUAAAUACUACCUAGUGACCGAUAGCGAAUAGUACCGUGAGGGAAAGGUGAAAAGAACCCCGGGAGGGGAGUGAAAUAGAACCUGAAACCCUACACUUACAAGCUGUGGGAGCGCAUUAUUCGCGUGACCGCGUACUUUUUGUAGAACGGGCCAACGAGUUACGUUAUGUGGCAAGGUUAAGCACUUAAGGUGUGGAGCCGAAGCGAAAGCGAGUCUUAACUGGGCGCCAUAGUCACAUGACGUAGACCCGAAACCGGGCGACCUACCCAUGAGCAGGAUGAAGCGAAAGUAAAAUUUCGUGGAGGUCCGAACCCACGUACGUUGAAAAGUGCGGGGAUGACUUGUGGGUAGCGGUGAAAUUCCAAUCGAGCUCGGAGAUAGCUGGUUCUCCCCGAAAUAGCUUUAGGGCUAGCCUUGAAAUUUAGAGAUGUGGAGGUAGAGCACUGAAUGUCCUAGGGGGUAUUGCACUUACCGAAGACUAUCAAACUCCGAAUGCCAUUAUCUUUUGUUCAGGAGUCAGACUAUGGGUGAUAAGGUUCAUAGUCGAAAGGGAAAGAGCCCAGACCGUCAGCUAAGGUCCCUAAAUGUAUGUUAAGUGGUAAAGGAUGUGGGAUUGCACAGACAACCAGGAUGUUGGCUUAGAAGCAGCCACUCAUUUAAAGAGUGCGUAAUAGCUCACUGGUCGAGUGAUCCUGCGCCGAAGAUUUCCGGGGCUAAAACAUACUACCGAAGCUACGGCAUCAUAUGAUGAUGGGUAGGGGAGCUUCCCAUGCAGGCUGAAGCGAUACCGUAAGGAGUCGUGGACAGUAUGGGAGAGAGAAUGUUGGCAUGAGUAGCGAGAUGAGGGUGAGAAUCCCUCAGGCCGUAAACCCAAGGUUUCCAGGGGAAGGUUCGUCCUCCCUGGGUUAGUCGGGACCUAAGCUCAGGCCGAAAGGCGUAGGCGAUGGACAACAGGUUGAGAUUCCUGUACUACCGAUAAUCGUUUGAGAGAAGGGAUGACACAGUAGGAUAAGCUGAGCACACUGUUGGUUAUGUGUGUCUAAGCGUUGAGGCAGACUAGAUAGGCAAAUCCGUUUAGUUAAUGCUGGGGCGCGAUGGGGAGCGAAACUAAGUAGCGAAGCAGCUGAUUUCACACUGUCGAGAAAAGUCUCUAUCGAGAUUAAAGGUACCCGUACCGCAAACCGACACAGGUGGGUGAGGAGAGUAUCCUAAGGCCAGCGAGAGAACUGUUGUUAAGGAACUCGGCAAAAUGACCCCGUAACUUAGGGAUAAGGGGUGCCCCAGCAAUGGGGCCGCAGAGAAUUGGCCCAAGCGACUGUUUACCAAAAACAUAGGUUUCUGCUAAGUCGCAAGACGAUGUAUAGGAGCUGACGCCUGCCCGGUGCUGGAAGGUUAAGGGGAUCUGUUAGAGCAAUCGAAGCAGUGAUCUUAAGCCCCAGUAAACGGCGGCCGUAACUAUAACGGUCCUAAGGUAGCGAAAUUCCUUGUCGGGU